rnacentral:rRNA from 1 species
UACGGAGGAUGCGAGCGUUAUCCGGAUUUAUUGGGUUUAAAGGGUGCGUAGGCGGAUUAAUAAGUCAGUGGUGAAAUCCUGCAGCUUAACUGUGGCACUGCCGUUGAUACUGUUAGUCUUGAGUAUGGUCAAGGUAGGCGGAAUGUGUAAUGUAGCGGUGAAAUGCUUAGAUAUUACACAGAACACCGAUUGCGAAGGCAGCUUACUGGGCCGUUACUGACGCUGAUGCACGAAAGCGUGGGGAUCGAACAGGAUUAGA